GCAUUAAUGGGGUAGAGGUAACCUGGGUCGUUGCCAAAAGAUGUAGUUCCAUUUCGUAGUCUCGACCCGCCGGGGGUUCGAUUCCCUCUUAAUGCA